rnacentral:rRNA from 1 species
AUUGAACGCUGGCGGCAUGCCUUACACAUGCAAGUCGAACGGCAGCGGGGGAGAAGCUUGCUUUUCCUGCCGGCGAGUGGCGAACGGGUGAGUAAUACAUCGGAACGUGCCCUGUAGUGGGGGAUAACUAGUCGAAAGAUUAGCUAAUACCGCAUACGACCUGAGGGUGAAAGUGGGGGACCGCAAGGCCUCAUGCUAUAGGAGCGGCCGAUGUCUGAUUAGCUAGUUGGUGGGGUAAAGGCUCACCAAGCCAACGAUCUGUAGCUGGUCUGAGAGGACGACCAGCCACACUGGGACUGAGACACGGCCCAGACUCCUACGGGAGGCAGCAGUGGGGAAUUUUGGACAAUGGGCGAAAGCCUGAUCCAGCAAUGCCGCGUGCAGGAAGAAGGCCUUCGGGUUGUAAACUGCUUUUGUACGGAGCGAAAAGGUCUCCUCUAAUACAGGGGGCUCAUGACGGUACCGUAAGAAUAAGCACCGGCUAACUACGUGCCAGCCGCCGCGGUAA